UACGUAGGGACCGAGCGUUGUCCGGAUUCAUUGGGCGUAAAGAGCUCGUAGGCGGCUGUUCAAGUCGAACGUGAAAACUCGGAGCUCAACUCCGAGCCUGCGUUCGAUACUGGACGGCUAGAGUCUGGUAGGGGGAUCUGGAAUUCCUGGUGUAGCGGUGGAAUGCGCAGAUAUCCGAAAGAACACCGGUGGCGAAGGCGGUGGUCUGGGCCUGAACUGACGCUGAGGAGCGAAAGCCAGGGGAGCAAACGGG
rnacentral:rRNA from 1 species